GGAGGAAUGGUCGAGUGGUUUAAGGCAGCGGUCUUGAAAACCGCCGUACAGCAAUGUACCGAGGGUUCGAAUCCCUCUUCCUCCGCCA
rnacentral:tRNA from 1 species